UGAGGCUCAGGUGGGAACCACGGGCAGUGUGCAGUGAGGCACAGGUGGGAACCACAGGCAGUGUGCAGGGAGGCCCAGGUGGGAACCACGGGCAGUGUGCAGGGAGGCCCAGGUGGGAACCACGGGCAGUGUGCAGUGAGGCUCAGGUGGGAACCACGGGCAGUGUGCAGUGAGGCUCAGGUGGGAACCACGGGCAGAGAGGCUCAGGUGGGAACCACGGGCAGUGUGCAGGGAGGCUCAGGUGGGAACCACGGGCAGUGUGCAGUGAGGCCCAGGUGGGAACCACGGGCAGUGUGCAGUGAGGCCCAGGUGGGAACCACGGGCAGUGUGCAGUGAGGCUCAGGUGGGAACCACGGGCAGUGUGCAGGGAGGCCCAGGUGGGAACCACGGGCAGUGUGCAGGGAGGCCCAGGUGGGAACCACGGGCAGUGUGCAGGGAGGCCCAGGUGGGAACCACGGGCAGUGUGCAGGGAGGCUCAGGUGGGAACCACGGGCAGUGCUCAGA